rnacentral:rRNA from 1 species
UACGUAGGGUGCGAGCGUUAAUCGGAAUUACUGGGCGUAAAGCGUGCGCAGGCGGUUUUUUAAGAUAGGCGUGAAAUCCCCGGGCUUAACCUGGGAACUGCGCUUAUGACUGGAAGACUAGAGUACGGCAGAGGGGGGUGGAAUUCCACGUGUAGCAGUGAAAUGCGUAGAGAUGUGGAGGAACACCGAUGGCGAAGGCAGCCCCCUGGGUCGAUACUGACGCUCAUGCACGAAAGCGUGGGGAGCAAACAGG